rnacentral:rRNA from 1 species
GACGAACGCUGGCGGCAUGCUUAACACAUGCAAGUGGAGCGACGAACCUUUUAGGGGCAAGCCGCGAACGGGUGGAGUAACACGUGGGCAAUCUGCCCAGUUGACUGGAAUAACUCUCCGAAAGGAGAGCUAAUACCGGAUGUGCCGUACCUACACAAGUAGGUCCGGUAAGGUAGCUUCGGCUAUCCGCAAUUGGAGGAGCCUGCGGCGCAUUAGCUAGUUGGUGGGGUAAAGGCCUACCAAGGCGACGAUGCGUAGCUGGUCUGAGAGGACGAUCAGCCACACUGGAACUGAGACACGGUCCAGACUCCUACGGGAGGCAGCAGUGGGGAAGUCUUGCACAAUGGGCGACAGCCUGAUGCAGCAAUGCCGCGUGAGGGAAGACGGCCUUCGGUUGGUAACCUAC